CUGUGAGCUCGAUGAGUAGGGCGGGACACGUGGUAUCCUGUCUGAAUAUGGGGGGACCAUCCUCCAAGGCUAAAUACUCCUGACUGACCGAUAGUGAACCAGUACCGUGAGGGAAAGGCGAAAAGAACCCCGGCGAGGGGAGUGAAAAAGAACCUGAAACCGUGUACGUACAAGCAGUGGGAGCACGCUUAGGCGUGUGACUGCGUACCUUUUGUAUAAUGGGUCAGCGACUUAUAUUCUGUAGCAAGGUUAACCGAAUAGGGGAGCCGAAGGGAAACCGAGUCUUAACUGGGCGUUAAGUUGCAGGGUAUAGACCCGAAACCCGGUGAUCUAGCCAUGGGCAGGUUGAAGGUUGGGUAACACUAACUGGAGGACCGAACCGACUAAUGUUGAAAAAUUAGCGGAUGACUUGUGGCUGGGGGUGAAAGGCCAAUCAAACCGGGAGAUAGCUGGUUCUCCCCGAAAGCUAUUUAGGUAGCGCCUCGUGAAUUCAUCUCCGGGGGUAGAGCACUGUUUCGGCAAGGGGGUCAUCCCGACUUACCAACCCGAUGCAAACUGCGAAUACCGGAGAAUGUUAUCACGGGAGACACACGGCGGGUGCUAACGUCCGUCGUGAAGAGGGAAACAACCCAGACCGCCAGCUAAGGUCCCAAAGUCAUGGUUAAGUGGGAAACGAUGUGGGAAGGCCCAGACAGCCAGGAUGUUGGCUUAGAAGCAGCCAUCAUUUAAAGAAAGCGUAAUAGCUCACUGGUCGAGUCGGCCUGCGCGGAAGAUGUAACGGGGCUAAACCAUGCACCGAAGCUGCGGCAGCGACACUAUGUGUUGUUGGGUAGGGGAGCGUUCUGUAAGCCUGUGAAGGUGUACUGUGAGGUAUGCUGGAGGUAUCAGAAGUGCGAAUGCUGACAUAAGUAACGAUAAAGCGGGUGAAAAGCCCGCUCGCCGGAAGACCAAGGGUUCCUGUCCAACGUUAAUCGGGGCAGGGUGAGUCGACCCCUAAGGCGAGGCCGAAAGGCGUAGUCGAUGGGAAACAGGUUAAUAUUCCUGUACUUGGUGUUACUGCGAAGGGGGGACGGAGAAGGCUAUGUUGGCCGGGCGACGGUUGUCCCGGUUUAAGCGUGUAGGCUGGU
rnacentral:rRNA from 1 species